AAAAGUAGGAGUUAACUGGUACGAUCUGAUUCACGUUGACCCGUUCAUGCCGUCGACCUCACGUCAUACAAAACGACCCAUAACAACCAUGUAGGUCACCGAUGAAACACACUACAUUAUCCAGUUUACCCAUUUUUUUUCGAAAACAACAUUACUUGGAGGAUUUUUUCCAAGAAAUGCCAACUAAUACGAACUUAAGCUUAAAUUAAAGCAAUUUUGAAAAUAGCCGCGUUUUCUUUGUUGCCCUUCUUCUUGAGGAUGUUUAACAUCUCAUGGGCUACAAAAACAGUCAUCAGAGAUCGAACGGCAGGGCACAAAAACAUUAUGAGAUUCGCUUAUAAUAUCAUCCAUUACUCGUCAGAGGCGCCUCACUAGGCACUUGGAUAUGAUCUUGUAUCAUGGGUUACUCAGACUGAUUGGUCUGUUUUCUGAGACCUUCUCCAGUUGGUCCUAAUAUAGGGAGAAAUCCAAUUAAUUGGGUGGAGUGGGGUCGGGUCGGGUCGGGUCAAUUUUUUUUUUUUAGCGGAUACCAAAUAGUUACUCCACAGUCCAAAAUCCUAAGCAUAGAUUUGGAAUUUCCACCGCGACCACGGUGGUGAAAAUGAAGAUGAUCUUUCUGGUGUCAGCAACUCUACUCAAAAUGCGUGGACUAUGGUCGAAUUCGAACAAAUUCAUGAACAUCAACGUCUGUAAUGGACCCCAUACGCCUGAACUUGUCAAUUCUUAGGAUAGAGUACUGUAAUGUAUAAGAUCAAUAUAUAAAAAUGGAGCUUCCUCAAAUUUCAUCUUCAUUUAGAAACGCGUGAGGUCUUGUGGCGAAGAGGGCCAGUGAGAAAGGACAUCUGGUACGGGAUGGCAGACGACCUUCAAAAAGUCUCUCCAACAGUAGACUCCAUCUUUAUUCUGACUGAAGCUAGUUCCAUAUCGAACUGGUGCUUUCAUAUCCGUGGUCAUGUAUUUGUGUCGUUCGUCGAAAGGGAGCUCGAAAAAUCUUUUGCAGACAUCAGUCAUACUGCUAAUAGCAUCCGUGGAAAUGCCAUGAUUCACAACCUGCAGCAACAUGUUUAAAUGGCAAUAUUCAUCAGAAUUCGUUGGUACUCAGCAUCUCGGAUUUUCUAGCCCGUAACAUGGACAGAGCAAGUGAUGAUAGCUGCUACUUCAAUUCUAGGUUGUACAUGGGAAAUUUUAGGUGCUGAAUAGUUGGCACGUGGCACGACCAAGUCUUCUUCUUGAAGCGGGGAGCAUUACUUGCAAGAAGAAAUUUGUUGCUGAAAAGGACUACGUUAGAAGACUGAGAAUCAUAUGUCAAUGCUGAGAGAGAGGUUACAUCAGACACUCAGAAUUGCUCAAUAUGCUUUCUUAUGAUAAGAUGCUGUGUAAGGAAACCUUAUUGAUAUACCGUCAGAGAAGAUUGGGGUAUGUAGGAUUUUUGGGAAUGAAUAUCCAUCUAGGUUUUGAUUCAUUGAGUACUGAAGCCAUGCAGCAUGAUGCAGGGAUUGAAGAUUGAUUGUGAGAGCAGAAAAGCUGAAAUAAACUGGACAUGAUUGUUUCACAGCUCAGCUAAGGAGCAGUUGCUUAGUGUUAGAAACAGGAAUAUUGACAUGAUUUCAUAUGGUAAAUGGAAUCAAGACCACACUACAAUGGACUCGAUUGACAACAAUUAUAGUCCAGAAUAAUCUUUUCAUUUUUCCUUUUAUGCUUUGUCCUCUAUCAAUUACACCAUUCCCAGCAUGUCACCAUUUCCCGACACAACACUAAGAUUAUAGUUUUGCACCUAUAAAUGUCUUUGUUGUCAUUCAAUCACAUUGAUCAUCCAUUGGCACAGCCGCCUGUAUGCUGUAAUCAGGGGAUAUUAUGCGAGUUACAGCAUUACUGCAGACUGCCAAUCCAUGAGAAUUGACCCCCCCACCCAGCUCCUUGUAUGUCAGAAACAUUAAAACAUGCUUCUGAAUUUGGGAAUUUUUUUCCUCUCUCUGAAAUGUGGGGGUAUGCUCCUCUAACCCCUAAAGUACUUGUGAAGUUACAAGUGCUAGUGUGCUUCACUUGCAAUUGGGCAUAACAAUUUUUGCUAGUGUACACAACAUUCAUGCUGCUCUGAAGUAUUUUAGUUGUAGCGUAGAUGAUGAAAAUCAGCUUUUAUCAUCUUAUUAUCAGUGGUCUGUGGGUGUGUACUUAAUCAGUUUCUUGUGGGAUUGGAUGAAUAUCUAGUACUCCCUGUUUUAAACCUGAACUUUGACAUUAACAUUAGCUGAUUACCUCAAUUCCUAAUUCCUAUAGAGAGACUCCCGUCUUUUCCUUGGUAAGCGGGUCCCAUGUAGGUAGCUUACCCUUGUAUGCCAGAGACUGCUUCAAAGAUCUUUAAAACACAUUACCCAUCUGAAACUUCACAACUUCGUCCAAUUUCUUAUAAUAAGCCAAAGCCAAGUAACAUUGGAUUAGAGUUAUAAAUUAGUUAGUACAAUUCGAACUGGAAGUACUUUUAAUAAACCAAUUGCUAGAACUUCUCUUUAAUGUAUGUGUAUAAUAUAAUUAUUUCCAAUCUUUGGCUAGAACUGGAAGUACAUUGGAUUAGAGUUAUCUGGCAUGAUUGUUGUUAUUUGUUAAUACAUGUCAAUGAUCACCAUGUUUUUAAUUUUUA